UGGGCUUCGCUCCUGACUAUGCACCUCAGUAUGUAAUUUUUACAGCUGUUUCUCAGCUGUUAAUAUAUUUCUGUGGAAUAUGUGUAAAUAGACACCAGCAAACUGUCUUAAAGUUAUUCAGCCAGCCAGUGAACCAUGUAAUCUGUUGACACGGUGUCACCAGACUCAGUAAAUACAGAGAUGGCUCAGUGGUGGACUGCAACUUUACAAUUUUAAAGAAAGUUCUAGAAUGAACUCUCCAAGAACUUGUCUACUUGGCUGGAGGGUGAUGCAGAGGUGACUCAGUGGGCUAUUAAGUGUGUUCAGUAUGGUGAUCUGUCCCCUCCACCCCUGGGUACAAACAGACAAUAAUGGUGAACAGUGUACCUGAUGUCACUGCUACCCCCGCGAGGAAGAAAGCCAGCCCUA